rnacentral:rRNA from 1 species
UACGUAGGGUGCGAGCGUUGUCCGGAAUUACUGGGCGUAAAGAGCUCGUAGGCGGUUUGUCGCGUCGUCUGUGAAAACUCGCAGCUCAACUGUGGGCGUGCAGGCGAUACGGGCAGACUUGAGUACUGCAGGGGAGACUGGAAUUCCUGGUGUAGCGGUGAAAUGCGCAGAUAUCAGGAGGAACACCGGUGGCGAAGGCGGGUCUCUGGGCAGUAACUGACGCUGAGGAGCGAAAGCGUGGGUAGCGAACAGG